CUGAAAGUACACGUCGUGCAGCCUUAAAGCAAUGGAAGUCACGCAGGAGAAAUGACUAUUUUUAUUGUGGAGCACUAACACGCCCCAAGCUGGCCAACUGCACUUAGAGCGUGGCCUGCAGGCUUGGAAAAAAGGGGGAAGUCCCGUGUCUACUUUAAGGAAUGCUGGCUACAGUGUGACGGGCAAAAAUUUGUCUGAAUUUCGUUCGUCAGCACGAAGAGAAAAGUACUGAUAAACGACUGUAUACACGUACACUUCAGACAAACCUCAACGUGCUAUUCGGUUUUUUAUUUAUACGUUAUUUUUCACGCCACCUUCUAGAGAAUCUAAACCUGAAUGAACUUGAGGACACCGCAUGGUACCGGUGACACCAGUCCACGCUGUUACGAUUUUAAAGCGAAUGUUCCUUUGUGAAUCUUCCGAGAUUUCCCCUGACCGCAGUUGCUGCCGCUGCUGCCCUGUUGCCAUAUAAGUCUCUGACCAAACUCCGAAAGAGGAAUCGAACCUCUGACAUCUCUGUCUUCAAGCACAGUAGCCCAUCGUGCUAACCGUUAGGCCACUACUGCAUACCACCGUGAACAAGUGGAGCACAGAGCCAGGCGUGCCACUUUCGGCUUCUCUAAGGCGCGUUACAGUCGUCGCCAACAUAGGGCCUAAAGAAACCUGACAGAGCAACAGAAAGUGGAGCGAAACAAGCGUCCCUUGGAGAAGCAACGACUUCAAUGUGCUGCGAAACGAAGCUUCGCUGUACGUAGUUUCCAACAGGGCCCGCUGGUUCUCCUGCCAUAUUUGUUUCCUUCCCGGCUGAAUGAAAACUGGGACGUUCAGUGUAGCAGGCUUUCUUCCUGAUGGACAUUCUAUAGGCAUUAAAGCCCAUAGCACACCUGUGUAUGUAAAGUGUGUAUGUGUGAUACUGAAACACAAGGCUAAGCCGAAUUCAUUUUUAUUCCACUACACUUUAUUCAAAUAAUCUUAUUUUAACCUUCUAGAUUGGGAGCCUGCAUACCUAAGUUCCUUGCUGUUUUAGGGUUGUCCUAUGGCAGUUUGUAGUGGUAAGGUGGGAGGUGAGAUCGUCUUAAAACGCUAAAUGCCCGACGUGCCGUUUGAAUGUAAAGUACAAUAACCAUGUAGAAUGCACCACAACAUACUGGAAGUGUAACAAUCGCAUGGCAAACGUAGCGGUGAUCAAGAUUCUGACACAAAUUAUUCGCCAAGUGCGCAUGUUCACCGAAUCAAUAUUAUUUCCCAUUUGAACAAAAGAAAAUAGAUACUGUAGAAGUUCAGUGGCUAAAUGUAGUUAGGACCAAUCAACUUUUUACAAGGAAGUUGCGCGACUAAAACCAAGUUUAAGAAGAAGUAUAUUAGAUUAUACGGCAAAUAUUGUAUACAUUUUUCGUUAUUUCAUAUCCAGAUGCACUAAACAAAUGUGGUCGCGUGAUCUUUGGAGCACAACACCUGAUUUCUUGUGACUCACUCAUCAAUAUUCCACGACCAUUAUUAAACGGUAUAAUGUGCUUAGAUAAGAAAAAUGUGUCGUACUAUAGGCUCACUUUAUGUACGGGGUCUUCAUGUAUCGCUUAACUGUUUUCUUGUAGCGGCUUUCAGCCCAAAAUACCAGUUCUCGGUAGCAUGUACUUGGAAACUAUUUUCACGUCAGUUUUCUUUUUUGUCGAUAUCAAGCAUAAUUUUGUAUUUCCGCUUAUUUCUUUAAGAGCGUUAUGUCGCUCUGCUGCCUAUGCUUCUGGGAUUGCUGAAACCUUAUAGUACCAUUAUUUUUGUCGAUUUUGGUUGCGUAUUAGGUGUUUCUCGUUGAUAGCAAAGUCUGUCGACCACGUGGUGUAAAUUUCCUUCAGCCAUAAAUCUUGUUAAAACGUGGCCAGACAACUCAGUCGUUGUCGAGUGCAAACUGUUAGUCAGUUCAUGAUGUUACAGAGCGAAAUCAUGUGCGGUCUUGAAGGACCUAACAUGACAGGCAUAAGUUCAACGUUUGUGACCGUUUUCCGUAUCGUCAGGCAAUUUCUUGACAGCGUCUCGUGGAAAGACGUUUAAACAAGUGAACGGCCUGAGCACGUAACAGUAGAUCAUUGAUAUCGACCGAACACACCGCUCGCAUUUGUAACUGUGAACGAAAUACUGUGAAGUUUCGUCUGAGCUCAUCUGGACAUGCAGUGGUACGUACAGUAUAUAAGCUCGGCGAUUUAAGUGCGAUGUUCCGAGGUCAUGGCGGCCGGAGCAUUUCACUCCACCUCGGCAACACCAAGCUGAUGCGUUGAGGCACAGUUCGCAAGAGACGCAUUGAGACGUCGUUGUGACGCAUUGUGACCUUAUUUGGGCUGCCCAACAAGGACCCAGCGUUCAUUGAUGACACAGCAAAAGCCCUCAUGAGCUCCGAGGGUCGCUCUUCAAUCCCUGAGCACUAUAUGUUACACGGCGGUGAUGUGAGCAUAAUGGCAUCUCGUUUUCAUGUGUGUAUGUGACGAAUACCAAGUUCGCUUUGGUGCUGUUGUGGCUAUGGUACAAAUGAUCUCACAAGCAGGCGAUCGCAAAAGGGUUGUUGGAUGUUGUUCGUUGAUGGGCUGAUGGUCGUUGAUUGUUGAAUAAAGAAUAAGUACUGGUGAUCGCA
rnacentral:lncRNA from 1 species